rnacentral:rRNA from 1 species
AUUGAACGCUGGCGGCAGGCCUAACACAUGCAAGUCGAGCGAGCGGCGGACGGGUGAGUAAUGUAUGGGGACUGCCCGAUAGAGGGGGAUAACUACUGGAAACGGUAGCUAAUACCGCAUACUAUCGGAUAACCCAUAUGGGAUUAGCUAGUAGGUGAGGUAAUGGCUCACCUAGGCGACGAUCCCUAUCUGGUCUUAGAGGAUGAUCAGCCACACUGGGAAUUAGACACGGCCCAGACUCCGACGGAGGCAGCAGUGGGGAAUAUUGAACAAGGGGCGCAAGCCUGAUGCAGCCAUGCCGCGUGUAUGAAGAAGGCCCUAGGGUUGUAAAGUACUUUCAGUCGGGAGGAGGUGCAGACAGAAGAAGCACCGGGUAACUGCGUGCCAGCAGCCGCGGUAAUAC